rnacentral:rRNA from 1 species
UGCACACACCGCCCGUCGCUACUACCGAUUGAAUGGCUCAGUGAGGCCUUCGGACUGGCUCAGGAGGGUUGGCAACGACCCCCCAGAGCCGGAAAGUUGGUCAAACUCGGUCAUUUAGAGGAAGUAAAAGUCGUAACAAGGUUUCCGUAGGUGAACCUGCGGAAGGAUCUUACCGAGUGAGGGCCCUCUGGGUCCAACCUCCCACCCGUGUUUAUCGUACCUUGUUGCUUCGGCGGGCCCGCCUCACGGCCGCCGGGGGGCAUCCGCCCCCGGGCCCGCGCCCGCCGAAGACACACAAACGAACUCUUGUCUGAAGAUUGCAGUCUGAGUACUUGACUAAAUCAGUUAAAACUUUCAACAACGGAUCUCUUGGUUCCGGCAUCGAUGAAGAACGCAGCGAAAUGCGAUAAGUAAUGUGAAUUGCAGAAUUCAGUGAGUCAUCGAGUCUUUGAACGCACAUUGCGCCCCCUGGUUCCGGGGGGCAUGCCUGUCCGAGCGUCAUUGCUGCCCUCAAGCACGGCUUGUGUGUUGGGCUCUCGCCCCCCGCUUCCGGGGGGCGGGCCCGAAAGGCAGCGGCGGCACCGCGUCCGGUCCUCGAGCGUAUGGGGCUUCGUCACCCGCUCUGUAGGCCCGGCCGGCGCCCGCCGGCGAACACCAUCAAUCUUAACCAGGUUGACCUCGGAUCAGGUAGGGAUACCCGCUGAACUUAAGCAUAU